GCUCCCUUCGUCUAGCGGUUAGGACAUCGCCCUCUCAAGGCGGGAACAGGGGUUCGAUUCCCCUAGGGAGCGCCA
rnacentral:tRNA from 1 species